rnacentral:rRNA from 1 species
UAAACCUCUUUCAGCAGGGAAGAAGCGAAAGUGACGGUACCUGCAGAAGAAGCGCCGGCUAACUACGUGCCAGCAGCCGCGGUAAUACGUAGGGCGCAAGCGUUGUCCGGAAUUAUUGGGCGUAAAGAGCUCGUAGGCGGCUUGUCACGUCGGAUGUGAAAGCCCGGGGCUUAACCCCGGGUCUGCAUUCGAUACGGGCUAGCUAGAGUGUGGUAGGGGAGAUCGGAAUUCCUGGUGUAGCGGUGAAAUGCGCAGAUAUCAGGAGGAACACCGGUGGCGAAGGCGGAUCUCUGGGCCAUUACUGACGCUGAGGAGCGAAAGCGUGGGGAGCGAACAGGAUUAGAUACCCUGGUAGUCCACGCCGUAAACGCUGGGAACUAGGUGUUGGCGACAUUCCACGUCGUCGGUGCCGCAGCUAACGCAUUAAGUUCCCCGCCUGGGGAGUACGGCCGCAAGGCUAAAACUCAAAUGAAUUGACGGAA